UGCGACUCCUUGCUUAUGAACCUGAUGGCCAUUCAAAUCAGAAGCGUAAAUUCCCGGAGGGUAGAAUCAUAGGACUAGAAAGAAUGCAGGUUCAGCCACAACAGGCAAUUAUGCAAAAUUAUUAUAUGUUCAACAACAAUGCUGCAACCAAUCCAUUCUGCAUGGACAAAACAAACCAAUCCAUGCACACCAAGAAAGGAUCCAUGUAUCAUCAUCAGGUAUGUCGAGUAAAUUUUUUUAAUUCUAUCGAAAAGAGAUGUAACUUUAGGCGAAUAUUGGCCGAUUUGAUCGGUGCCAGUGAGCAUUACAGCUUUGACACACGGGAUAAUCAAGGACCUGUCUGGAUAUGGAUGAUUACCAGGAUUUAAGAACUGUAUAGAAAUACUGCCUUAUCUAAACAGAUUAUUUUGUUUUAAUAACUGAAUGAGCCGAUAACUGAUAGUAUAUUCCCAACCGAAUGCACAAACUGACUAAUAUAGACAAGUGCAUGGUCACAAAAAUGAAAGAAAAAAAAAGAGAGAAAACAAUACCUUUGUACAGCUCCUUGUUGAA
rnacentral:misc_RNA from 1 species